GCGGCAGCAGGGUUGGGCUCUCGCCGUGAGUCGACGAAGGGAGCGCGGGCGCGCGCCCGCGUCCGCGCACUGAGAGUCGCCUCGGCCGCUCGCUUUCUCGACUCCCGCCUCGCGCCUCGAUCCUGUUCCGCCUCCCUCGGCCCUCCUGCCCGCCCCCACUCGUCGGCCCUCAGCAUUGUCUUUGAAUAUUAGCAAAUAAUGGAACAUGGGCCAAGGGUGAACCAUGACGAAUUUGUGUUCCAGCAGCCCUGCUUCUUUAGAAUUGACAGUCUGGCUUCGUGGUUAAUUCACAGCAUCUGAGGAAUACAUCCAAAGAGGGUGAUACUGUGGCAUGAUGGUACCAGGAUUCCAAGUUCAUUCCAGGAAAAAAUCUACAACUUUCAUCAAAUUACUCAGGGAGACUUUAUUCUAAAGAGACUGAAAACGACCAACAUCAAUUUUGACUCCUAUGGGCAUCUGUAAAUAGCUUCAAGGUUUUAAGGUGAAAUGUCAUGUACCAAAAUACACAUUCUGGAGAAGCAGGAAGCUACAGACCAACUUGAGAUGAAAGUCUCAUAUCAAUGUUUUCCCAAGUGUGCUCCUUGGAAUACAGGUUGACAUGAUAUGAUGCCCAGCAAGGGAAACAAAACAUAUUCAUGUUCAAAUUAGUUGGGGAAAUGCUGGACUAAAUAAGGUUUGAUGGGAUUCUUUUUUCUGCAGGACUUCUCAGAAGGGGCUAGAGUAGGCAAAGUUUCCCAGAUUUACCUAAUAAAAGCAUUGUUUCUGUGGGAGUUUCAUUUGUUAUUACAUGUUUCCUGAAUGCAGAUUCAUAGACUAUCCUUUGGGGAACCCUCGUCCUCACGGGAUGUAUGUUCAUGGUGGUGUCUUCGAGUUUGUGCCCUUGUGAAGCAUUCUGGCAGCAAGCAUCUGAACACUUCCAAAAGGGGGCGAUAUUUAGGAGAAAUCGCUCAGCCUGAGUUAGAACAAAUGCAGCUGCUGGUGUCUCUUGGUGCCUGGGAGCCCUAGAGUGUCAGAGGGAGGAGCGUGCACACUGGAACCAGCAGCCUGGUGCUGCGUCUCAGCUCUGUCGCUAACUGGCUAUGCACCUCUGGGCAUGGCACUUAACCCUUCUGAGCCCCAGCCCGCCAUCUGUAAAAAGGGCUUGAUGUGAGGAUUGAAUGAGAUCAUGCAGGGAACACAAUGUCUGGCACUUGGAAGCGUCCACCAUAAAGAGCCAAGGCAGUAGAUGGCCCAGCUGGGUUUGGUCCAGGCAGAGUUUACCCUCUGCCCUGGAGGCUCCAGGAAAUGCUGCCACGUGGCUCCUAUUGCCUUAACCACAUCCGACCUGUUCCUGACAGCUCCCCACAUCUCCAGCUCCUUUGCUGGUGCUCCAGGCACCUCCAAACGUGGCGAGCCCCUCUCCCCUGCCCUCUUGUGGCAGCUGACCUGGCAGGAGUGGGACCAAGACAUCCAAGGCAGCUCCUUUCCACCUGCAUGGGCACUUUCCUCAGGACAUCCUUGCCCCUGGCACCACCUUGGGCCAGCAAGCCACAUGGAAAUGGAUGCAGAGGCACCACUGUUUGCUGACAAUUAUACACUGUCCUUAAGGUCACCCUUGGCGAUCUGUCACCAGGAGCAGACAAACCCACACCUCAACCAUCCCAUCAGAGCUUGUUUCUAUCUGCAUCUGUCAUCGCUGAUCGCAUUUGAAUGGGUUUAGUCUCUAUUUUAAAUAAAAGAUUUAU
rnacentral:lncRNA from 1 species